UAAUGUUUGAUUGGUGGUGUAGUUAUUUAGUUUAGCAUUGUCUAGGCCCAGUAAUUUUCCGAUAAUAUGAUAUUGUUCAUCUUCUUCUUUGCUUUUUCCUGUUAUCCUUUCCUUUUUCAUAAAUGAGAAAGUUCCAUAUUCGUAGCGAGUCUACAAGACAAGGUUAGUUUCUGCCACAAAUGAUUUAAAAAAUUUCAAUGCCUAGAAGGGAUAUAUAGAAUAGCUUGGAAUCUCUUUUAAAAUGCAAUUUUCAUUUUAUAUGGAGCGAAUUGAUUAGUUCAGCAUAUCCUUUAUGUAAAAUUAUUCAUUAUGAAAAUGAGUUUGGAGAUUGCGAUUUCUACCAUGAGCAUAGAACAUUAAAAGAAUGAGGUAUUGAUUUCACAACUCGCAAAUUUUUGCCAACUAGAGGUGUUUCAAGAACACAACUUGCAUGGUCCAAUUGUCCACUAAUCAAGCGACUUAUGUCCUUGAUGGAAUUGAGUGUUACUUGAAUUUGCAUGUCGUUGGUCCGGCCAUGUAGGAUGUGUGUUCCAAAAGCACCUCAAAUACUUUAUUUAAGAUUUUCAAGUUUUGAUGUAAAGGCCACUUCAAACAGGAGCAGGAAUUAAAGCGGAAGAGAAUGCAAUGGAGAGUGUCGUUCCUGUUGAAAAUUGGAAUUGCAACUUGUCUCUCGGCCGUUUUCCUUCCGAAAGCCCUCGCUAUGAACAAAAAGAGAAUUGGAGCUUCUGGGCGGAACAGGAAUUAAAAGCAGAGGGGAGGACAGGGGAGAGUGUCAUUCCAAUGCCUGAGCUUCAACAGUUACCGUCCACUGCAUCCUCCCCAGUUUUUACCUGUUCGAUCAACAUCAAACAGGAAUGAAAGCAGAGGACAAGGCAGGGGGGAGUGUCGUUCCAAUGCCAGAGCUUCGACAGACUGUAAUGUCGAUUACGGGAAAAGAUGGCAAGCUGGCUGGUUCUUUGACAGCAGAAGUGGUGAGGCCCCUCUCCGAAAGAAGUCAGAAGGAAGCUGGCUGAAAGCAGAGCUAGAGAGUAUAGAAACACUCGAAAAUGCAACGGAGGAUGAUAUACUUUGCCCAUUUUUGUAAUCGGUGCCAAUGGAGUCUAGCCAAGCAAACCCAGAAGAUGCCACCGUUGACCGGGGAAAAAGGCCCCCGUCGCAUGUACUCUACUUUUUGCCUAUGUGUUUUGCCUAGAAGGCAUUCGUUUCUUUGCUUCGUCUUUGGAUUUAAGCUUGGGUUUUGGCUCCAAAACGAAUAUGCACUUAAAAGAAUGUGAUCUUUCUUCAGUUUUCA